UUCCUACGGGAGGCAGCAGUGGGGAAUCUUAGACAAUGGGCGCAAGCCUGAUCUAGCCAUGCCGCGUGAGUGACGAAGGCCUUAGGGUCGUAAAGCUCUUUCGCCAGAGAUGAUAAUGACAGUAUCUGGUAAAGAAACCCCGGCUAACUCCGUGCCAGCAGCCGCGGUAAUACGGAGGGGGUUAGCGUUGUUCGGAAUUACUGGGCGUAAAGCGUACGUUGGCGGAUUGGAAAGUAGGGGGUGAAAUCCCAGGGCUCAACCCUGGAACUGCCUCCUAAACUAUCAGUCUAGAGUUCGAGAGAGGUGAGUGGAAUUCCAAGUGUAGAGGUGAAAUUCGUAGAUAUUUGGAGGAACACCAGUGGCGAAGGCGGCUCACUGGCUCGAUACUGACGCUGAGGUACGAAAGUGUGGGGAGCAAACAGGAUUAGAUACCCUGGUAGUCCACACCGUAAACGAUGAAUGCCAGACGUCGGGGGGCUUGCCCUUCGGUGUCACACCUAACGGAUUAAGCAUUCCGCCUGGGGAGUACGGUCGCAAGAUUAAAACUCAAAUGAAUUGACGGAA
rnacentral:rRNA from 1 species